rnacentral:rRNA from 1 species
CUGGGGCAGGCCUACACAUGCAGUCGAGCGGUAACAGGGGAAGCUUGCUUCUCGCUGACGAGCGGGGGACGGGUGAGUAAUGUAUGGGGAUCUGCCCGAUAGAGGGGGAUAACCACUGGAAACGGAGGCUAAUACCGCAUAAUCUCUUAGGAGCAAAGCAGGGGAACUUCGGUCCUUGCGCUAUCGGAUGAACCCAUAUGGGAUUAGCUAGUAGGUGGGGUAAUGGCUCACCUAGGCGACGAUCCCUAGCUGGUCUGAAAGGAUGAUCAGCCACACUGGGACUGAAACACGGCCCCAACUCCUACGGGAGGCAGCAGUGGGGAAUAUUGCACAAUGGGCGCAAGCCUGAUGCAGCCAUGCCGCGUGUAUGAAGAAGGCCCUAGGGUUGUAAAGUACUUUCAGUCGGGAGGAAGGCGUUGAUGCUAAUAUCAUCAACGAUUGACGUUACCGACAGAAGAAGCACCGGCUAACUCCGUGCCAGCAGCCGCGGUAAUACGGAGGGUGCAAGCGUUAAUCGGAAUUACUGGGCGUAAAGCGCACGCAGGCGGUUGAUUAAGUUAGAUGUGAAAUCCCCGGGCUUAACCUGGGAAUGGCAUCUAAGACUGGUCAGCUAGAGUCUUGUAGAGAGGGGGUAGAAUUCCAUGUGUAGCGGUGAAAUGCGCUAGAGAUGUGGAGAGAAUACACGGUGGCGAAGGCGGCCCCCCUGGACAAUAGACUGUACGCGUCACGUGCGAAAGCGUGUGGGGAGCAAACAGGGAUUAGAUACCCCUGUGUAGAUCCACGCCUGUAAACGAUGUCGAUUCUGAAGUGUUGUUCCCUUUGAGGAGCUGUCCUUUCGCAGCUAACGCGUUGAAAUCGACCGCCCUGGGGAGUACGGGCCGCAAGGAUUAAAACUCAAAUGAAAUUGACGGAGGGACCCCGCACAAGCGGGUGGAGUCAUGUGGGAUUAAUUUCGAUGCAACGCGAAGAAACCCUUACCUACUCUUGACAUGCAUGAGAAUUUAGCAGAGAUUCUUUUAGUGCCUUCGGUAACAUCUGAACAGAUGCCUGCAUAGGCUGUCGGUCAGCAUCUUUGUUGCGGAAAUGAUUGCGGUUAAGUUCCCGCAUCGAGUGCGUCUAAAUCCU